rnacentral:rRNA from 1 species
GGACGAACGCUGGCGGCGUGCUUAACACAUGCAAGUCGAACGCUGAAGCUCAGCUUGCUGGGUGGAUGAGUGGCGAACGGGUGAGUAACACGUGAGUAACCUGCCCUCUUCUUUGGGAUAACGCCCGGAAACGGGUGCUAAUACUGGAUAUUCACUGAUUCUCGCAUGGGGGUUGGUGGAAAGGUUUUUUCUGGUGGGGGAUGGGCUCGCGGCCUAUCAGCUUGUUGGUGGGGUGAUGGCCUACCAAGGCUUUGACGGGUAGCCGGCCUGAGAGGGUGACCGGUCACAUUGGGACUGAGAUACGGCCCAGACUCCUACGGGAGGCAGCAGUGGGGAAUAUUGCACAAUGGGCGAAAGCCUGAUGCAGCGACGCCGCGUGAGGGAUGGAGGCCUUCGGGUUGUAAACCUCUUUCGCUCAUGGUCAAGCCGCAGCUUUGGGUUGUGGUGAGGGUAGUGGGUAAAGAAGCGCCGGCUAACUACGUG